rnacentral:rRNA from 1 species
CGUGUAGGUGGUACUGUAAGUAGGGCGUGAAAGCUCCUGGCUCAACUGGGAGAGGCCGUUCUAAACUGCAGCACUCGAGUUUGAUAGAGGAAGAUGGAAUUCCAGGUGUAGCGGUAAAAUGCGCAGAUAUCUGGAGGAACACCAGUGGCGAAAGCGGUCUUCUGGAUCAAUACUGACACUCAGACGCGAAAGCUAGGGUAGCAAACG